GACGAACGCUGGCGGCGUGCCUAAUACAUGCAAGUCGUGCGGAACUUUUAAAAGCUUGCUUUUAACAGGUUAGCGGCGGACGGGUGAGUAACACGUGGGCAACCUGCCUGUAAGACUGGGAUAACGCCGGGAAACCGGGGCAAAUACCAGAUCGUUUUUUCCUCCGUAUGGAGGAAAAAGGAAAGGCGGCUUCGGCUGCUACUUACAGAUGGGCUCGCGGCGCAUUAGGUAGUUGGCGGGGUAACGGCCCACCAAGGCAACGAUGCGUAGCCGACCGGAGGGGGUGAUCAGCCGCAUUGGGAGGGAGACACGGCCCAAACUCCUACGGGAGGCAGCAGUAGGGAAUCUUCCGCAAUGGGCGGGAGUCUGACGGAGCAACGCCGCGUGAGUAAAGAAGACCGUCGGGUCGGAAAACUCUGUUGCCGGGGAAGAACAAGUGCCGUUCGAACAGGGCGGCUCCUUGACGGUACCCGGCCAGAAAGCCACGGCUAACUACGUG
rnacentral:rRNA from 1 species